UGAGUAAUGCCUAGGAAUCUGCCUGGUAGUGGGGGACAACGUCUCGAAAGGGACGCUAAUACCGCAUACGUCCUACGGGAGAAAGCAGGGGACCUUCGGGCCUUGCGCUAUCAGAUGAGCCUAGGUCGGAUUAGCUAGUUGGUGAGGUAAUGGCUCACCAAGGCGACGAUCCGUAACUGGUCUGAGAGGAUGAUCAGUCACACUGGAACUGAGACACGGUCCAGACUCCUACGGGAGGCAGCAGUGGGGAAUAUUGGACAAUGGGCGAAAGCCUGAUCCAGCCAUGCCGCGUGUGUGAAGAAGGUCUUCGGAUUGUAAAGCACUUUAAGUUGGGAGGAAGGGUUGUAAAUUAAUACUCUGCUGUUUUGACGUUACCGACAGAAUAAGCACCGGCUAACUCUGUGCCAGCAGCCGC
rnacentral:rRNA from 1 species